ACUCGUCUGAGCGAGUAUAAAUAGGCCACUAGGCUCAGAGCGGCUCCCCAAGUAAUUAUCUUGGGGGGCGAUGGA
rnacentral:ribozyme from 1 species